rnacentral:rRNA from 1 species
UUGACAUCCGGCGAACUUGGCAGAGAUGCCUUGGUGCCUUCGGGAACGCUGAGACAGGUGCUGCAUGGCUGUCGUCAGCUCGUGUUGUGAAAUGUUGGGUUAAGUCCCGNAACGAGCGCAACCCUUAUCCUUUGUUGCCAGCGAUUCGGUCGGGAACUCAAAGGAGACUGCCGGUGAUAAACCGGAGGAAGGUGGGGAUGACGUCAAGUCAUCAUGGCCCUUACGAGUAGGGCUACACACGUGCUACAAUGGCGCAUACAAAGAGAAGCGACCUCGCGAGAGCAAGCGGACCUCAUAAAGUGCGUCGUAGUCCGGAUCGGAGUCUGCAACUCGACUCCGUGAAGUCGGAAUCGCUAGUAAUCGUGGAUCAGAAUGCCACGGUGAAUACGUUCCCGGGCCUUGUACACACCGCCCGUCACACCAUGGGAGUGGGUUGCAAAAGAAGUAGGUAGCUUAACCUCCGGGAGGGCGCUUACCACUUUGUGAUUCAUGACUGGGGUGAAGUCGUAACAAGGUAGGCGUAGCGAG